rnacentral:rRNA from 1 species
GUGGGGAAUAUUGGACAAUGGGGGCAACCCUGAUCCAGCCAUGCCGCGUGUGUGAAGAAGGCCCUAGGGUUGUAAAGCACUUUCAGCGAGGAGGAAAACGUGAGGGCUAAUACCCUUCACGGGGGACGUUACUCGCAGAAGAAGCACCGGCUAACUCCGUGCCAGCAGCCGCGGUAAUACGGAGGGUGCAAGCGUUAAUCGGAAUUACUGGGCGUAAAGGGCGCGUAGGCGGCCUGUUAAGCCAGAUGUGAAAGCCCCGGGCUUAACCUGGGAACCGCAUUUGGAACUGGCAGGCUUGAGUGCAGGAGAGGAAGGUAGAAUUCCCGGUGUAGCGGUGAAAUGCGUAGAGAUCGGGAGGAAUACCAGUGGCGAAGGCGGCCUUCUGGACUGACACUGACGCUGAGGCGCGAAAGCGUGGGUAGCAAACAGGAUUAGAUACCCCAGUAGUCC